UGGGGGAUAGCUCAGUUGGCAGAGCGUGAGACUCUUGAUCUCAGGUGAAAUAUACUCAGAGUCGAGUGUGGAUUUCAUGCUAUUUAUUCAGCUCAUAGUAGUGAGGAAUGAAAGUUCCCCCAA